UACGGGGGGGGCAAGCGUUGUUCGGAAUUACUGGGCGUAAAGGGCUCGUAGGCGGCCAACUAAGUCAGACGUGAAAUCCCUCGGCUUAACCGGGGAACUGCGUCUGAUACUGGAUGGCUUGAGUGUGGGAGAGGGAUGCGGAAUUCCAGGUGUAGCGGUGAAAUGCGUAGAUAUCUGGAGGAAUACCGGUGGCGAAGGCGGCAUCCUGGACCGGCAUUGACGCUGAUGAGCGAAAGCUAGGGAAGCAAACGGG
rnacentral:rRNA from 1 species